GACACUUUGGCCGAGUGGUUAAGGCGACGCCCUGCUAUUGCAGCAGUGCUUGUUGAUAGGCGUUGUCCAUUGGACGCGCAGGUUCGAAUCCUGCAGGUGUCG
rnacentral:tRNA from 11 species